CAGUAGAGGCUCGAAUGGAAUUUGCUUACAGUAGAUAUCCAGAGUAGAUUGCCUGCAGUGGGAGUUUGGCUCUCACAGGAGCUCGAUUGGAAUUCAGAAGGCGAUCGACUACCGUAGAGACUUGGAUGGGGUCUAGUUGCUGUAGAAAUCUCAUUGUCGGAGGAGCUCGGAUAUUGACGAUGUCCGGAAGAAGUUCGGAGUAGGGUUGUUCG
rnacentral:lncRNA from 1 species